rnacentral:rRNA from 1 species
AUUGAACGCUGGCGGCAGGCCUAACACAUGCAAGUCGAACGAGUGGCGGACGGGUGAGUAAUGUCUGGGACACUGCCUGAUGGAGGGGGAUCACUACUGGAAACGGUAGCUAAUCCCGCAUACCCUCCGAUGUGCCUAGAUGGGAUUAGCUUGUUGGUGGGGUAACGGCUCACCAAGGCGACGAUCCCUAGCGGGUCUGAGAGGAUGACCAGCCACACUGGAACUAAGACACGGUCCAGACUCCUACGGGAGGCAGCAGUGGGGAAUAUUGCACAAUGGGCGCAAGCCUGAUGCAGCCAUGCCGCGUGUAUGAAGAAGGCCAUCGGGUUGUAAAGUACUUUCAGCGGGGAGGCGUUACCCGCAGAAGAAGCACCGGCUAACUCCGUGCCAGCAGCCGCGGUAAUUC